AUUGAACGCUGGCGGCAUGCCUUACACAUGCAAGUCGAACGGUAACAGGUCUUCGGAUGCUGACGAGUGGCGAACGGGUGAGUAAUACAUCGGAACGUGCCCAAUCGUGGGGGAUAACGCAGCGAAAGCUGUGCUAAUACCGCAUAAGAUCUACGGAUGAAAGCGGGGGAUCGCAAGACCUCGCGCGAGUGGAGCGGCCGAUGGCAGAUUAGGUAGUUGGUGAGGUAAAGGCUCACCAAGCCUGCGAUCUGUAGCUGGUCUGAGAGGACGACCAGCCACACUGGAACUGAGACACGGUCCAGACUCCUACGGGAGGCAGCAGUGGGGAAUUUUGGACAAUGGGCGCAAGCCUGAUCCAGCAAUGCCGCGUGCAGGAUGAAGGCCUUUGGGUUGUAAACUGCUUUUGUUACGGAACGAAACGGGUGAGCUCUAAUACAGUUUGCUAAUGACGGUACCGUAAGAAU
rnacentral:rRNA from 1 species